CCGUUAAACCUCACCACUCCUUGUUUUCUCCGCCUAUAUACCGCCGUCGUCAGCUUACCCUGUGAAGGCCCAACAGUAAGCAAAAUGGGUGCGCCCAAAAACGUCAGGUCGAGGUGUAGCGUAUGAAGUGGGAAGAAAUGGGCUACAUUUUCUAAAUACAGAACAUUACGAACAGUGCCUUGAAAACAGGCGCUAGAAGGUGGAUUUAGUAGUAAAAAACAAAUAGAGAGUCCUUUUGAAUUAGGCUCUGAGACGCGCACACACCGCCCGUCACUCUCCCCCUCUUUAACCUAAACACACACAUUAUAUAUAAUUUGACCGCUUAACCCCCGGGGAGGCAAGUCGUAACAUGGUAAGUGUACCGGAAGGUGCACUUGGAAUA
rnacentral:rRNA from 1 species